GCGGGUGUGGCGGAACUGGCAGACGCGCUAGAUUUAGGUUCUAGUGUCUUUAAUGACGUGGGGGUUCGAGUCCCUUCACCCGCA
rnacentral:tRNA from 1 species